UUCUAAAAAAAAUAGUAUGUAGCAUGUGCAGAAGGUUUGAUUCGGGCAUACAACAUUCAUACAUAUGCGGUUCUUUAUACACUACAACUUGAUUGUACCAUUAAGCUCCUUGGUGCUGGUGCAUUUGCUUUUCACCCGAUGCUGGAAUGGACUUUUGUUGGUGAUGGACGUGGUACGCUUCUUGCAUGGGACGUAUCAACAGAAAGACCUAUUAUGAUUGGAAUUACUCAGGUGGGUUCUCAGCCUAUCGCAUCAGUUGCUUGGCUUUCACCGCUGGGUUUACUUGUCAUUCUUUCCAAAGAUGUAACUCUACAAGUUUGGAAAACACGAUUGGAAGUUAAUCAUAAUAUAUUUCCAGCGCAAGUAAAUUCCUUUGAGCCUGCUUACGGACAGACUUUCUAGGAAGGGAGUAGGAGGAUAUACCUAUAUAUUAUAUAUAUGUAUCCUAAUUAAAAAUCACAUAUGCUGGUCUUUAGAUGUUUCCUUUGCAGCAAUUGAAUCAUUGGAAAUCCCACGCCUUCUUUCUCAGCAGGGUGGGGAAGCAGUUUAUCCCCUACCAAGAAUCAGAGCUUUUGAAGUUCAAUCAAAAUUGAACUUAGCAGCUUUGCUUUUCGCAAGUAUGAUCAGUGGCAACAACUUAAAGAAUAGAGCUGCUUAUGCUAGGGAAGGAAACAGCUCUUUGCUGUUCUGCAAAGUGCCGGGGAUCUUCAGCAUCUAUCUUAAAGGAGAAGCUCUCAUCCAUGGAUUCCUCUGGUAUUUUAGCUGAUCAUCAUCUUCAAGUGAAACUGCAAGAACAACACAUGAAGGGCCAAAGUCGUCUUACAAUUUCUGACAUUGCUCGGAAGGCAUUCCUCUAUAGUCAUUUCAUGGAAGGUCAUGCUAAAAUUGCCCCUAUAUCUAGGCUGCCUCUCAUCACUAUUAUGGAUUCUAAAAAUAAACUGAAGGAUAUUCCUGUUUUCCAGGUGAAUUGGUUCUGCAUCAAUAUCUAUGUGCCCUUUAGUUUAACUUUAUCUCACCUGGCUGACUUUUAUUGGAGCUCAAUUUUUUCAACAAGGAGAAUCGAGUUCUUCAUUACCCUGUCGGGGCUUUUUAUGUAGAUGGCAUGAACAUCAUGGCUUACAAUCUUUGUUCUGGAGCACAUAGUGUUUACAAGAAAGUUUGAACAUCGUUCCCAGGGAAUGUGGAAUACUAUCCUAAACAUAUGAUUUAUGGUAAGAAGCGGAAUCUGUUUCUCAUUAUUUAUGAGUUUAGAGGAAGUACAAACGAAGUGGUCCUUUAUUGGGAAAAUAAUGAUUUCAAGUUCUCAAACAGAAAAAGGAAGCACAAUCCAAGGAUGUGAUGCAGCUUUCAUCGGUCCCAAUGACAAUAAAUUUGCUAUUCUUGAUGAAUAUAACUCCGGAAUGGCUCUGUAUAUUCUUCCUGGUGCAGCUUUACAAGAAGCUAAUGACAAAAUUGGUGCAUAUGAACCAAAUCUUUUACCUGAUGAACCUGUGGAUGCAAAAGCUAAUUCUGUUCAGGGUCCUAUUCCAUUUAUGUUUGACACAGAAGUCGGUCGUAUAUUUUCCACUUCUAUAGGUGAUUGGUGACAUUUGUUUCUACAUAUCGGAUGCCAUCAUUUGUCACACAUACUGUGAUCAAUAUCUUAUACGAUUGUAGAGUCCACUUUGAUGUUUGCUUGUAAUGGGAAGCAAAUUGGUUUGACAAAGUUGUUUCAAGGGUCCUGGCUUCCAAAUUCUGAUGGUCACUAUAUAUCGACAAAAACAGAAGGGAAAAAGUACGUAAGGUUAAACGCAAAUGAGAUUGUGCUUCAGGUCCAUUGGCAACAAACUCUGAGAGGCUAUGCUGCUGGAGUAUUAACUACUCAAAGAGUGCUUAUAGUUUCAGCAGAUAUUGAUGUACUUGCUAGCAAUUCCUCUAAAUUUGACAAAGGAAAUCUGUCAUGGUUGGAGGAGAAGGGCGAGAACACGAGGAAGAAUUGGGGGAAGAAACGCGAAUGUUAGGGAUUGAGCAAGAGAAAUUAGGGAUUAAGACACGUAAGAAAGGGGCUAAUGAUUUACCUGAAGUGGAGCAGGCUGAUUCAGAUCAGACGUGGUUGGAGCAGGCCCAAGAAGAAUGAGAGCACCCCAAGUCCGCUAGACCAAUAUCUGCAGAAGAAGACAAAUUAUUAGGAGUUGUUAUAUUUUGUUAGAAAGGACAGCCAGCUGGCAAUCCUUCGGUAAUCUUUGUAACUAAAUAAAUUGGUUGAGUAAAUAUUU